rnacentral:rRNA from 1 species
GAUGAACGCUGGCGGCGUGCCUAAUACAUGCAAGUCGAGCGAACGGACGAGAAGCUUGCUUCUCUGAUGUUAGCGGCGGACGGGUGAGUAACACGUGGAUAACCUACCUAUAAGACUGGGAUAACUUCGGGAAACCGGAGCUAAUACCGGAUAAUAUUUUGAACCGCAUGGUUCAAAAGUGAAAGACGGUCUUGCUGUCACUUAUAGAUGGAUCCGCGCUGCAUUAGCUAGUUGGUAAGGUAACGGCUUACCAAGGCAGCGAUGCAUAGCCGACCUGAGAGGGUGAUCGGCCACACUGGAACUGAGACACGGUCCAGACUCCUACGGGAGGCAGCAGUAGGGAAUCUUCCGCAAUGGGCGAAAGCCUGACGGAGCAACGCCGCGUGAGUGAUGAAGGUCUUCGGAUCGUAAAACUCUGUUAUUAGGGAAGAACAUAUGUGUAAGUAACUGUGCACAUCUUGACGGUACCUAAGCAGAAAGCCACGGCUAACUACGU